AGGCAAACAACUUAAUAGAAGGAUUCAACUCAUUUCACAACUUAAGUAGAGUUGAUGGUGUCCUAAACUGAUUUCAUUAAAUUGUGAAAUGUGGAAUGUCCUUAAAUCUACCAAAAAGGUACCAAUGGCAUUGAGAAACAGGUUACUUGGUAUGCUGUUCAAAUCCCAUAAAAAAGAUUUCUAACUGUUGGCAUUGAAGCAGGUUGCAUGGUAAGCAUGGCAUGGUAUGCUGUUGAAACCCCUAAAAAAUGGUUUCUAACAGUUUGCAAUGCAUGUGUCUAUACUAAG